UAGAAAACAUUGCUCUAUUUCUACUAGGUGAAAACCUAUGCCUCAGGUACCAAAGAAAAGAAAGAGCAGCUGGGCCCCCUAGAUCUCAGAGCCCCCCAAAAAGCUGUGAGCCAGGGUCUUUGUUCAUUAUCACAAGUUCUAGGUGUUUCUUGUUUCUUUCCUUUUGUUCUGGCUAACUUUUAUUGAAUAUUUGCCAUGAUGAGAUAGAGUGCUGCAUGCUUUAUCUGUUAUUUAUCUUAUAAUCCUUGCUGUAUUUGUUAGCACAAGGCCUCCUGCUGAAACAAAUCACAACAUUUCAGUGGUUCGACCCCAUAGAGGCUUAUUUCUUGUUCACAUGACCCUCUGGUGCCAAGCCCUGAUCUCAGAGUGGCUUUCUCUCCCUGGAUGGUCUGCCACCCAGGCUUUGUCCCUGGCGCUGCUCCACCAUCCCCUAGAAACCCAGAUGACCCCAGACUUCUCUGCAUGCAUCCUGUUGGUUGGGGAAAAGCAAGUAGAGGAGGUUUACCUGCUCCUCAAAAAUCCCAGCCAGAAGCAGCAUGGAUCAUUUCUGCUCACAUUUUAUUGUCCCAAAUGUGGCCAUACCUGAGCACAGGGGGAGCUAGGGAAUGCAGUGCCUGGCUGGGCAGUUUCCUCCCAGUAACAAUUCAUAUUUUGCAAGUUUUGGGGGAGCGUGAGUUUUUGGUGGACAUUUGCUGUCUUGUCCCAUCUCCUAAGUGACUCUAUUUGGUAAGAGUAUCUCUAUCUAUUGAAGAGCAAAUCAAGACUCAGAACAUUCUGAUGAUGUGACCUGAUUAGUAAGUGGCAUAAUCAGAAUUCCUGCACAGGCCUAUAUGAACUCUUUUUGACUGCAGAUCUCAUGUUUGUAACCAGGGCCUCAUGCUAGCACUUGUCCUGAUCUUCUUCAGGAUACCUGAUAGGGUCAGCCAUGCCCCCAAACCACAGGCUGUCAGUCUGCACACCCUGUCCUGGGAGGCAGCCCAGCAGCAGUUCCUUGCUGUUUUUUCUUUCCUGCCUUCUCUCCUUUUAUUCAACACCCAGGCCCUGUUGCUGUUGCCAAGACCAGUGAUCCAGAUGUUUUCUUACCUCCCAUCUAUCUCCCUUAGUCAACAGCAUUGAUUCACAAUGGUCCGGUUUCUCCAACCUGUUCCAAAAAUGUUCACGGACAUGUAGCUCCAAACAUCAGUCAUUUUUUAAUUCUUCCCUGUCCCCCAUUCAUCCAUUUAUCCACAUGCUGACAUUUAUACUAUGCUUACUCUGUGCCGGGCACUGUACAAUAUACUUGGUAGGAAUAUGACCCAGGACUUGGCCUUAAUGACAUCAUGUUGCCAAUUUCAGAAACCAGUAGUGCUAGCAUUUAUCCUCCUCUCCCUGUUUCCAUAAUUUAGUGUUCCAGAUCAUGCCCUUAUCCCUCCUACAACACUCAGUAAUUUCCUUGAUGGCCUGCUACCAUGUCUAUCUUUAGUUUAAUUUCUUCCAUAUAUUGUUGCCAAGUUAGUCUUUGUAAAGCAGAGUCCUGAUGACAUCAAUUUCUAGCUCUAAAUCUCUGGCUCCCUAUUGAUUGUAGAAUAAGGUCUAAACUCUCUAGUGUGACAUACAAAACUUUCAUGAUCUGGUUCCACUCUAUCUUUCUAGUUUUAUAUCUCAUUUCUCUCUUUCAUGCUUCCUAUCUUGACUGUGAAUUGCUUAUGAAUCUCUACAUACACUCCUUCUUUACCUCUCACCUGCAUAUGUAUGCCACACAUAUCCUGUUCUUUCUCACCUCAAAAUCUUUGAUCCAGCAUCAUUUCUAGCAUGAAUGAAUCUGUUCAUGUUCAAUAAAUAUGUGGUAAAUGAAUGGCUAGGUUCUAGCCCAGAAUACUCUUCCUGCUCCUUCUUAUGUCUUUGUACCCUUUUCAUGGCAAUAAUUCACCAUACAUUAUAUUUAUUUAAUGUAUACAUUUUCUCUCUCUUACUAGAUGGUGCUCAGGGCUGUAUGUGAUUUGCCGUUAUCUAUUGCACACCAAACCAUCCUUUACCUGCUCAGCAGUUGAACACGAUGUCCAAUAUAUAAUGGCCCAGUAUUUUUCCAAGUGGAGAUGACAUACAAGGUGUAAUCGAUCCUUUCUGCACCCAUGCAGACAGCACUAACUGAUCACAGCACACCUCAAUGAGCUGGGUCUUCUAUGUGGAAUUCUGCUCGGGAGUGCCAGGGCAGCCACCAAUGAUCAGUGAAACUCCUGUGGCUGGAUAAAGCCAGGGCAAUUCUUUGGAUGUCAAUCAUUUUGAAGGGCGACUUUCUUGCAUGACUUGCCUGCCUGCUGUGUUCAUCAGACUGCCCAGUGGAACAGAAGUACCCAAUUUCUGGAUAAGAACAAGAGGAAACUGCAAAACUGGGGCACACUAAAAGUCAUCUUUGCUCAAGAAAAUUCAGGAAGAACUGUGAACAUUUAAUAACUUCAGUAUCCAACCGCUCAUAGUAAGUGCUUGCUUAAUGCAUAGACAAGACAGGGAGAUUCAGAGAGCAGGCAACUCAAGGCAUUUCCAUUUUAUUUAAAAAACUGUUUGAUCUCUGUUGAAAUUUAGGAUUCUGCUUUUGACUUUGCUAGAUAAAGUUGGAGUAGAAAUGAAUUAUUCAUAUGAAAUAUUGCCUCAAUAACACUGCAUCAAAUAAACAUAAUGAAAAGCUGCCCAUGUUAUAUAAGGGAAGCUAAGUCACAACUCUUUUGAAUUGCAAAGUUAAGCACUUGGGGCUAGACUCUUCUCCAACAUUAUUCUAUGGAAGAAUCCACUUAGGAGGAUGUAAUGCUCAGAUCCUUUUUAUUUCCGGUCAGACAUGCAUUUGUGGUUUAUGAGUUUAAACUACAGUUGUAACCAUGAUGUUAUUAAAUCUCACAGUCCUCAUCCUGAUUCCAUCCAAGUCAUUGGAGGCCAGAGAGAAAUUUCUGUGACAGUGUAUCCAAUACCAUUGCAGAAUUUCAAGUGAACCAUAGAAACACGGUAACCAGUAUUCUUUCCCCACCCAUGAAUCGUGCACAUAAGGAUGUUUUCAACAACACCAACACAUACACAUAUCCGUGGCUUUGAGGCACCAGGAAAGGCCAUGUGAGCUCACAGGGAGAAGGUGGCUGCAUACAAGGCAGGACAUGAGCCCUCAUCGGGCACUGAAUCUGUAGGCACCUUGCACUUGGACUUCCCGGCCUCCAGAAUGGAAAGCAGUGGGAAAUUUGACACACACAAUGAAGAUGGUGAUAUAAAGAUGGAACAGAGAAAGAUUUCAAGAUUAGAGUGGCUUUGAAGAUUAUAGUGAUGUGUCCAUAAGCCAAGGAAUGUUGGCAGCUAUCAGAAGUUACAAGAGGCAAGGAAUGAAUUCUCCCCUAGAGCUUCUGGAGGAAGUAUGGCCUAUAUGACACUUUGAUUUUGGUCCAAUGAUACUGACUUUGGACUUCUGACCUCCCAAACUGUGAAAGAAUAAGCUUCUUCUGUUUUAAACCAUUAAGAAUAUGGUAAUUUGUUAUAGUAGCAAUAGGAAACUAAUACAAUAAGGCACUCUUAUAAUAUCCAAACAUGAGGGCCCACUAGCCAGGCAAAUGAGCCUAUACACUGCUAAAAAAUUCUAUUUUUGCAAAUGGUUUUUAGGCUGCUUGGAAUAUAGUCCAACUAUCUGUUUCAGUUCAGCAUUUGUAAACAAAGAAAUUUUAACAAAAGGAAAAGAAGCCUACUGAUGGACCAAAAGGAAAAUGUAGAUGUGGCACUCAUUAGCUCAUCCCUUUCUUUUAUUUCUGGCCUAUAACCACCCAUUCUUACAACCUGGAGAUUCUUUCUCAGGAAGAAAGUAGAUGGCACUGGAUGUGAUACAAUAACUCUUUUUGAAUCAGGAUUUGGCUAGUGAUGGGUUCCCAUUUUCACUUGCUUGCCACAUUCCUAUAAUGGAAGCCUUGAGUAGUUAGCUUGCAUCUUAAAGUAUCAGGUGAGUCCAGUAAGAUACACACCAUAGCACUCUUGUUCCUGCCUGGCACUCUGACCUUUGAUCUUUGGCCCCCAGUGAAUAAAAUCAGCCAUAAGUUUUUUUUUUUAAUUACUUAUUUAUUAAUU